GGAAAAGAGUCUUAGCUCUACCUUAAUUUUUUUAUUGCACCAAACAAAACACUAGAUUUAAGAGCUAUUCAAAUAAGGCACAGCUUAUUUGAAAUGGGAUACAACCCCUAAUACUGGGUUAAUCUAGAUAUAUUAAAUAAAGUGGGCCUAAAAGCAGCCAUCUUCUAAAAAGCGUUAAAGCUUAACAUAUUAUUGUCUACAAUUCCACAAUUUUUACUUAACCCUUCAUCACUACUGAACUAUUUUAUACCCCUAUAAAAGUCAUUAUGCUAGAACUAGUAACAAGAAAUUGCCCUUCUCCAAAAUGUAUGUUUAAACCAAAAUGGACCCUCCACUGGUAGUUAACGUAAAUGUAAAAAUCAUAGUACCACACAACUAGAAAACCCUAUGACCUCCCCAACGUCAACCUUACACUAGAACAUUACAGGAAAGAUUAAAAGAGAAAGAAGGAACUCGGCAAACCACAGUCCCGCCUGUUUACCAAAAACACCGCCUCUUGCCCAAAUAUAAGAGGUCCAGCCUGCCCAGUGACAUAGUUUAACGGCCGCGGUACCCUAACCGUGCGAAGGUAGCAUAAUCACUUGUUCUUUAAAUAAGGACUCGUAUCAACGGCAUCACGAGGGCUGUACUGUCUCCUUUCUCCAAUCAGUGAAACUGAUCUCCCCGUGAAGAAGCGGGGAUUGACCUAUAAGACGAGAAGACCCCAUGGAGCUUUAAACCCAACACACACCCCUACGCACCCAAACCAAUACAGCCCAAGAGACUUGUGUGUUGGUUUUAGGUUGGGGGGACCGCGGAGUAAAAUCAAACCUCCAUGACAGACGGGCUAAUACCCUUAUCCAUGAACCACAAUUCUAAGAGCCAAUAAAUUGUUGUCUAAUGACCCAAUUACUUGAUCAACGAACCAAGUUACCCUGGGGAUAACAGCGCAAUCUACUUCAAGAGCCCCUAUCGACAAGUAGGUUUACGACCUCGAUGUUGGAUCAGGGUAUCCUAGUGGUGCAGCCGCUACUAAAGGUUCGUUUGUUCAACGAUUAAAACCCUACGUGAUCUG
rnacentral:rRNA from 1 species